GGCCUUGUGGCCCAAUGGAUAAGGCGCCUGACUACGGAUCAGGAGAUUCCAGGUUCGAGCACUGGCAGGGUCG
rnacentral:tRNA from 1 species